rnacentral:lncRNA from 1 species
GGGUUUUGGAUGUGGUGGCUCGAGCGCGACGAAAUCGCGAGAGGAGUCGUGGGCGGUUCGGGGCGUGCGUGGCCGUGGAAUCCGGAUGCAGUUGGGGUUGAAGACGAUGGCGGGGCCCGCCUGGCAGUGGCCUCGGGCAGCUCUGGCGCGGGCUGGGCCGGUCGGCUCUGUCCAGUUCGGUCCAGUUUGGCGGUUCGGUCCGGUUCGGCUUCGGUUUUUCUUUUCUUUUUCCUAUUUUCUGUGUUUUUGAACUCCAAUUUUGAUUCAAGGCUCCAAAUCACUCCAAAUAAAUUGCAACAAAAUUUGCAAAAUCAUAUUUUCAUAUGAUCUAACCUUUGGGACAAGAAUUUCAUCAAAAUAAAAUAUUUAAAAAUACAUUUUUCUAUAAAAUGGCUUUUAGGUCCUUUUAGGUUAACAAAAUAAAUUAUUUUUCAAAAUAAUUUCAAAAGCCAAUUUAUGGGAUAGCUUUAUAUACGCAUUAAAUCCCUUUUUAUGCCAAAACCCUCAUGGGUUAAAAUGCAAU